GAAAAAGGAUAUUAUGGUACAGAGUGUUCUCAGAAAUGUUCUCCUAAAUGCAUCGACACAUGUCAACACACUGAUGGCUCUUGUAUUUGUUCCUUUGGAUGGACGGGCAUAAAUUGUAAUCGAGAAUGCCAACCUGGGUAUUACGGACUAAACUGCAAGGAAGAAUGUAGUUUACACUGUGGUUUUAAUGACACUUGUGAAAGAUACAAUGGAUCUUGUCCAAGAGGAUGCCAAGAACCCUUCACAGGAACAAACUGCUUAAAAGUGACAGGAAACAGCACAUUACCGAAAGGUUCUAUUCUUCCGUGGAUCUUGACUCUCACUCUGUCAGUGAUACGGAAUUUGUGUUGUGUUUUAAUAGCUGUCUGGAAACGCUUCAGGUAAU